rnacentral:rRNA from 1 species
UACGUAGGUGGCAAGCGUUGUCCGGAUUUAUUGGGUUUAAAGGGCGCGUAGGCGGUGCGGUAAGUCUGUAGUGAAAUCUCUGGGCUCAACUCAGAGUCUGCUAUAGAAACUGCCGUGCUUGAGUGUGGGAGAGGCGCGUGGAAUUGCAGGUGUAGCGGUGAAAUGCGUAGAUAUCUGCAGGAACACCCGUGGCGAAAGCGG